GGAUCUUUAGCUCAAAUGGUAGAGCACUUGAGAGUAUGAAUCUCAACGAUGGUGGUUCAAAUCCACCAGGAUCCU
rnacentral:tRNA from 1 species